rnacentral:tRNA from 1 species
GGCGCUAUCGUCUAGUGGUUAGGACUCAGGAUUCUCAUUCCUGCAACCGGGGUUCGACUCCCCGUAGCGCUA